rnacentral:lncRNA from 1 species
CAAACAUGGCUGUUCCUUCCAGAAAUGAAGGGAAAGUCUUCUAGUAGGAAGGACAUUAUGACUUUAUAUAACAUAAUCAUGCAUUAUAAUCCUUUGCCACAUUGUACUGGUAAGACAUAAGUCCCAGAUCCCACCUACACUUAAGGCAGGUGGUAACACAGGGUGGAGAUACCACAGAAUCACUUCAGGGACUGUUGAUCACAAGGAUCAAGCAGAAAAUUGUCCAGAAAUAAACAGGUCAUUUUUCUUCUCUUUUUCUUUUUUGUCUUUUUAGGGCUGCCCCUGCAGCAUAUGGAAGUUCUCAGGCUAGGGGUUGAAUCGGAGCUGUAGCCACCGGCCUACGCCAGAGCCACAGCAACGCUGGAUCCGAGCCGCGUCUGCAACCUACACCACAGCUCACGGAAACGCCGGAUCGUUAACCCACUGAGCAAGGGCAGGGACCGGACCCGCAACCUCAUGGUUCCUAGUCGGAUUCGUUAACCACUGCGCCACGACGGGAACUCCUCUGCAGGCAUUUUGAUAAGCAGUGUUGAUAAGUAUUUCAGGUCCUACCUGUUAGAUUGGAUGUGGUGUAGCCAUGGGAUGUUGAACUAAGUGGGGAGUGGGUGGUGAGGUUUUCAGAGAGAAUCUAGUGACUGGAGGGGAGCAGACCCAUUUGGGGGAGGGUUCACUACAAUGUAGCUGAGCAGUUUGAUAGACCUGAGGCCAUGCUUGGGGGAAGAAUAAUGAACACAUUAUAGAAAUCCUAGCAGGGAAGUGGCAGAGCCAAGUCCUAGCCAAGCCGCUUGACCCUGGGGACUGUAUUCUCCACCACCAACUGCUAGGGCCUCUGAUGUACCUGGGUUCUCAGCUAAAUGUAUGCCCCACAUUGUGAAAUGGUUCUCUGGUAUAGCCAGCACCCAAAGUCAAAACAAAAAAAUGGAAGUGCUGCUUUAUAAUCCAACUUCCCUGGAUUAUAAUUCUUCUUUUCUAAGAGGAUGGCCCUCAGAAUAGCUUUGAUUAUCUCUUAACGAUUUCUAAAGAAGGGCAGCCUAUGUAGUUAAAAAUAACUGAAUAUCUGGAGAAUUCCUUCAGGCCUCUUCUGCUUGGGGUUUUAGGAUAUAAAGUAGUUCUGUUAGAGCAAUGUUUUAACAGCUGCAUCAGCAUGUCCCUGGACAGAAGGGAUACAUAUAAAACACAUCACUUCUCAGGCUUUUUUCCUCCUUCAUUCCUCUACCUCUUCAGGAUAAAACCAUUGUGAGGCUUUUAAAAGUAACAUGGGAUGAGGGCCAUGUUAAAUAAAUCUAAUCAAGACUUAUUGUCUGCUAACUUCAAAGGGAAGCCAAGGAUGAGGGACAUGUGUGAAGAUUCAGCAGACAGGAGGCUUUAACAAAUGACAGUUUGCUUGAGUACGUAGCAUUUCUAAGUGUUAGAGCAUCUCAUAAAGCCAGAAGAAUCCUGGGGGGAAAAAUAGAUACUACCAGAAUCUAAAGAGGCUCAGGUAUGUUAGUUGUUAUCAAAUCAGGUCGAUAGAUUAUCUGAAAACUCUGUGUGAAGUGUUUGAUAUUCAAAACAUUGAUCUGAUUAUGUCUUUGUUGGUUUGAACCAAUCCAUUGCUGUCUCACUACUGUUCAUUUCCAAUAAAUCAACAGGUUGUGAGGUUUGGGGGGAAGGACCAAAUACAGAACAGAAGGGGAAAGCCAUAGCAGUGAAUGUGUAUCUGAAUUUUAGUGCAGCUGUUUGCUAUUUAAUCUCCCUUUGAGUCAGAAUCAGCAUCUCUGGACGCUAGAACCAUUAACCCCAGGGGCCUCAAGCCCUUUACAUGUGCACAUAAUGAGACCCAGGAGGGUAAAUUGCCUUGUCUUGGCCAUGGGUUCCGGUGGCUGCAAAGCCAGAGCAUGGGCCCAGGUCCUUAAUGCUUUGUCUAUUGUGUCAAGGCCCUUAGUUCCCAGUCUGGUUCAUGUAUACUGACUUCACAAAAAAAAAAAAAAAA